AAGCUGUUAAAUAGUUUUAAAUGGGGGAGUGAAAUGAUCUGAUAUUUGUUUCAUUUUGCUUUUUUAAUUAAAUAGUAAGAUAUACUAAUAUUUAGUGCACAUUCUGUGGCUUGAUAAAGUUUUGCAAAUAUAGUUACCAUAGAUCCAGCAGUUCAAGGUACAAAACAUUACCAGUUCCCCAGAAGCCUGCUUCCUGCCCUGUCUUAGUAAUAAUUUCAUACUAUCAAACAAUUUUUAAAGUGUCUAAUUAAUACAUUAAAGAAUGCCACAGAGGGCUGGGUGAGAUGGCUCAUGUCUAUAGUGCCAGCUACUCAGGAGGAUGAGGUGGGAGGAUCACUUGAGCCCGGUAGUUUGAGGCUGCAGUAAGCUAUGAUGGCUCCACUGUACUCCAGCCUGGGUGACACAGAGAGAUCUCAUCUCUAAAAGUAAAGUAAAAUAAAAAUUAAAAAAUUUUAAAAAGCCACAGCAAUAGAAAUAUUCCUAUUUCUAGAAAUAUCUAGAAAUAUAUUCAAGAAUAAAUGGAAACUGUGUGAAAUUAAGAUGGUAUCUCACACCAAUGUGAAAAGGAGAGCUUAUUUUAUAAACAGUAUUGCAUAAAAUGACUAUAGUUAAUAAUAAUAAUAAUUAAUAAAAUGAAAUUAGAAUCUGCUACAUACCUUAUAUCCAAACUAAAUUCCAUGGGGACUAAAAAUGUAAAUGUUAGAAAAUAAAAUAUAAAAGUGGUAGAAGAAAAUAUGGAUUAAUCUUUAUAUAAUCUUAAGUGGGAAAGGCUUUUUCUAUGUCUGACUCAACUAAUUACAUGAUAAAGGGAAAGAUUU
rnacentral:lncRNA from 1 species